UGGGGAAUAUUGGACAAUGGGCGCAAGCCUGAUCCAGCCAUGCCGCGUGUGUGAAGAAGGCCUUUUGGUUGUAAAGCACUUUAAGCGAGGAGGAGGCUACUUGGAUUAAUACUCUAAGAUAGUGGACGUUACUCGCAGAAUAAGCACCGGCUAACUCUGUGCCAGCAGCCGCGGUAAUACAGAGGGUGCGAGCGUUAAUCGGAUUUACUGGACGUAAAGCGUGCGUAGGCGGCUUCUUAAGUCGGAUGUGAAAUCCCUGAGCUUAACUUAGGAAUUGCAUUCGAUACUGGGAAGCUAGAGUAUGGGAGAGGAUGGUAGAAUUCCAGGUGUAGCGGUGAAAUGCGUAGAGAUCUGGAGGAAUACCGAUGGCGAAGGCAGCCAUCUGGCCUAAUACUGACGCUGAGGUACGAAAGCAUGGGGAGCAAACAGG
rnacentral:rRNA from 1 species